CAGGCACACUCACAGGGGAGAAUCCGCCCGACAGCUGGUGACGUCACGGCUCUCCAGGACGCAGUUGGCUGCUCCGACUUGACCGCUGUCGAGGGGAGCAUCCAGUGUGAGACCGGAAGCCCCGAGUGUUGCCCCUUCUCCUCCUGCGCACCCGCUUCGCCCUCGCCACUGGGAAACUCCAGUCUGCCCUACGUUGCCUGCUAGAGCUGCUCUGGGACACAGUGUCACUCUCCUGAGUUCCUCCUCUGCCCGGGACUCUCUCGGCUUCCUCCUGGGUCUCACUGUAUCUUUUCCCGGGACCCCCUCAUCUCUCCUAGUUCUCCCUUUAUCGUUUCCUCAGAGGCCCCUUAUCUGUCGGCUCCAAACCCUCUCCCCCUUUGCUCUCAUCCAUCUCCCAUCACCUCUUUUCCCUCCCAUGGCUCCCCGUUUCCCAUUAGAACUCAUCCCCCACAGGGCUGCCCUAUCCCUCCGCAGCCCUUAUCUCCCCGAAAGGGGUCUCCACCUUGCGGGAGGAAUCUUUCUUCCUCCCCUGGCUCCCAUUUAUCCUGUUCCUAUUCUUCUGUUUCCUAAGAACCGCCCUCCUCCUUUCCCCAGGGUAUUGUGCUCUCAAGAAUACUGAGGGCCAUGGCAUGGGGGCGCACGCCUGCAAUCCCAACACUUUGGGAGGCCAGGGCAGGAGGAUCACUUGAGCCCAGGAGGUCGAGGCUGCAGUGAGCCAUGAUCACACCACUGCACUCCAGCCUGAGUGACAGAACAAGACCCUGUCUCAAGAACAACAACAAAAACAUUGUGGACUCCCCAGCUCAAGACACAGCCCCCCAACAAACACACAUCCCCCAGGCUCUCCAGACCUGCUUUGUCCCCUAGUACAGAAGAAGCCAAGCUUGAGGGCACCCCUAGGACUGCGGGCACUUGAACAUUCUCGUAGGCCGCAUUCGCUUCUGUCUUAGACC
rnacentral:lncRNA from 10 species